AAAUAGAUAAAAUUAAAAAAAAAUAGAAAAAAAUAGACUGAAAUUAACCACAACCCAAUCCAAACUAGAAAUAUCUGAACCAAGUAAAAAACCAGAAAAGGAAAAAAAAGAACACUAAAAAUACUUGCCGAAACUAGUCAAAAACCGCUACAUUAACUAAAAUAGUCACCGCCGAAACCACCAGAAGGCGUCAAGUCAAAACAAAGAAACAACUACCACCUAGGAGGUACACUGAGCUUGACUGAAUUGAAAGAACCAUCAGAUGCUAUAGACGACAACCAAAAAUGAAACCGAGAGAUACAAUUUAGAAACUUGAAAAGAGAAUAGAGUGAAAAAGGCACGUAGAGAAGACUACCAGAUUUGACUGGCUUCACAAGUUAGAAGCCAGUAAGUGGAUAAGCCGAAACCUCACCCAACAGCCGACUCGCCUUCGCUGUCACCAGAGAACCCUAAUUUUAUCUCCAUCCAUUCCAUCCUAAAGCAGACAUCAAAGAGAGGUGAGAGUCUCCGUGAUUCAGAUGUAGAGGUAAAACACAUUGCAACGUCAAACUUUCCCCUCAGAGAUCGGGAUUCACCUCACCGGAAGAUCGAAAGAACCCAACAUCGAUGCAAAUCUAGGAGAAUAAAACAUAUAAAGCUUAAGGAAUCAUGACUCAAAUCUGUCCUCAUAGAGCUAAAACACGAAGCCUUAAACUAUGAAAGUUACAGAAGACUACUGUGCACCCUCCAUCACCAGAAAUCUGAACACUAAGACAGAAAACACCCGAAUCGAAUCUAGAAAUACAGUACAUGGUCAGAA
rnacentral:lncRNA from 1 species